GUGGGCGAAAUAGCGUUUAUGGUGAAGUAAAUGGAACCGCUGGAAUCCAAACCCCACUGUCUAUACUAAAGGUGAUUUAAAACAGAUUCAUCUUGAGGAUAAAUGAGGCUCUCUGAAACAAGAUGCAAUACUAAUCAAAAGAUAUCGACAGGAGUGUCAGAGGCACCUUACCCCAUGCCGGAUAAUUUUGCAGAAGCCAUGGUACCAGCCAACAUCUGUGACCCCGUAGGUAUUCCCCUUCUCUGAGUGGACUGACCCAGGCCUUUUCCCAACAAAGAUAGACCUUGUGGAAGAUGAAGUCUAGUACUAGCUACUAAAAGACUCUUCGGCAAUGCUGGAGAUACAAAGGGAAGAGAAGGCAUGGAUUUGCAGUCUCGCUGGGAAGGAAAGAAGUAGGCGAAUGAAAAAAGGAAGACAUUGGACCACUGAAGCUAGGCUGACACCGGGAUGUCAUAGCAUACAAUUUCCCCCUACUAAUCCUAUUUCUAACUUCAUUUAUUUAUCCUCCCCCAUUUGCAUUCUGUUGGAUUUACUCACUUAUUUUAAUCUUAUAGAACAAUUUACAUACAUUUUAAUAAAUCAAGUUCUUUUUGGAAUGAGGUGGAGUAUCCAUAAAUACACCCAGAAAAAAGAAAAUAGUUAUGCCUAAGACAAAUUUCACGCCAGGUACAUUUAUGUUCAAAAUUUUCUGGAGGUUUUGAGUUUAUGUAGACAGCUUUCAUGUUCUUCAGGUGCCCAAGUAAAGAAUUCGUAUACUUCCAGAGAGUUUUAUAGUCAAGGUGGACCAUAGGGCUUCUCUGGUGGCUUAGUGGUUAAGAAUCCACCUGCCAAUGCAGGGGACACGGGUUUGAGCCCUGGUCCUGGAAGAUCCCACACGCCACGGAGCAACUAAGCCUGUGCGCCACAACUGCUGAGCCUGCACUCUAGAGCCUGCAAGCCACAACUACUGAGCACGUGAGCCACAGCUACUGAAGCCCAUGCCUAGAGCCCGUGCUCCACAACAAGGGAAGCCACCACAAUGAGAAGCCUGCACACUGCAACAAACAGCAGCCCCUGCUCGUUGCAACAAGAGAAAGCCCAUGCGCAUCAACGAAGACCCAAUGCAGCCCAAAAUAAAUAAGUUAAAUAAAUAAAUUUUUAAAAAAGAUGGACCAUAAAUAUAUCUAGUUUAUUUUUUAGAAUAUUUUCAUUUACUCUUGUUUGCAUAUAUGCAUAUAAAAUAAGAAUAAUUUUUCCCAUUUCAUAUUAUGAAAAUAAUACAAGCUCAUGUUAAAAAAUUUCACAAAGCAUAUAAGUUGAAAUUAAGUCUUUUUCCCUCGUUAGUUCUCUAAAUUUUACUCCCUUUUGUGUAACAUUAUAGACUUUUCUAUGUACUUAUAAGGAUAUAUAUGUAUCUAUGUACUUUGAUGUUACCUCAAUGGAUUAUACUCUUCUGUGAAGUAGGCUUUUGUCAGUUGACAAAAUAUGGAAACUUUUUUCAGGGCAGUAUAAAUAGAUCUCUUUUAUUCUUAUUAAACUGGUUUAUUAUUCCAUUGUAUGAAUACUUCAUACUUUAUUUGACUAGUCUCCUAAUAGCGGGCACUUAGGACUCUUUCCCCUUUUACGCAAGCAAACGUUGCUGCCAAAAAUGUCCUUGUUCGUAUAAUUUUUUACACAUCUGUAGGAAAAUUACAUAUCUGGAAAUAUAGUUGCUGGAUAUGUGCAUUAAAAUUUGUGAUAGCGAUUGCCAAAUGGCUCUCUGAAAUAGUAUUCUCCAAAAAACAUUGUUUUAUUCCCUCAUCCCAAACAAGACUAGAUAUAAUCAAACUUUUUUCUUAUAUGCAAAAAUGACUUUUAUGUCUGUUUUAAUAUGAAUCUUAUUAUGAAUGAGUUUAAGCCCCUUCAUUUAUUAACUGCCUCUCUGGGUUUCUUUUUCCGGUCUAUAGCUUUUGGAUCUCUGCACAUUUUUCCCUCACUGGAUUGUUCAGAUUUUUCUUAUUAUAAAAAAUAUUCUUUAUAUUAA